rnacentral:rRNA from 1 species
UACGUAGGGUGCAAGCGUUGUCCGGAAUUAUUGGGCGUAAAGAGCUCGUAGGCGGUCUGUCGCGUCGGAUGUGAAAACCCGCGGCUCAACUGUGGGCUUGCAGUCGAUACGGGCAGACUAGAGUUCGGUAGGGGAGACUGGAAUUCCUGGUGUAGCGGUGAAAUGCGCAGAUAUCAGGAGGAACACCGGUGGCGAAGGCGGGUCUCUGGGCCGAAACUGACGCUGAGGAGCGAAAGCGUGGGGAGCGAACAGG